AGCCCAGACUCCUACGGGAGGCAGCAGUGGGGAAUAUUGGGCAAUGGGCGCAAGCCUGACCCAGCAACGCUGCGUGAAGGAAGAAGGCUUUCGGGUUGUAAACUUCUUUUAAGAGGGAAGAGCAGAAGACGGUACCUCUUGAAUAAGCCACGGCUAACUACGUGCCAGCAGCCGCGGUAAUACGUAGGUGGCAAGCGUUGUCCGGAUUUACUGGGUGUAAAGGGCGUGUAGCCGGGCUGACAAGUCAGAUGUGAAAUCCGGGGGCUCAACCCCCGAACUGCAUUUGAAACUGUUGGUCUUGAGUAUCGGAGAGGCAGGCGGAAUUCCUAGUGUAGCGGUGAAAUGCGUAGAUAUUAGGAGGAACACCAGUGGCGAAGGCGGCCUGCUGGACGACAACUGACACUGAGGCACGAAGGCCAGGGGAGCGAAAGGGAUUAGAUACCCCUGUA
rnacentral:rRNA from 1 species